AGUGAACGCUGGCGGUAGGCCUAACACAUGCAAGUCGAACGGCAGCACAGGAGAGCUUGCUCUCUGGGUGGCGAGUGGCGGACGGGUGGGGAAUACAUCGGAAUCUACUCUGUCGUGAGGGAUAACGUAGGGAAACUUACGCUAAUACCGCAUACGACCUACGGGUGAAAGCAGGGGACCUUCGGGCCUUGCGCGAUUGAAUGAGCCGAUGUCGGAUUAGCGAGUUGGCGGGGUAAAGGCCCACCAAGGCGACGAUCCGUAGCUGGUCUGAGAGGAUGAUCAGCCACACUGGAACUGAGACACGGUCCAGACUCCUACGGGAGGCAGCAGUGGGGAAUAUUGGACAAUGGGCGCAAGCCUGAUCCAGCCAUACCGCGUGGGUGAAGAAGGCCUUCGGGUUGUAAAGCCCUUUUGUUGGGAAAGAAAUCCAGCUGGCUAAUACCCGGUUGGGAUGACGGUACCCAAAGAAUAAGCACCGGCUAACUUCGUGCCAGCAGCCGCAGUAA
rnacentral:rRNA from 1 species